GGGGCUAUAGCUCAGCUGGGAGAGCGCUUGGCUGGCAGCCAAGGGUUCGAUCCCCCUUAGCUCCACCA
rnacentral:tRNA from 1 species